AACGCAUAUGGCACCCGAGAUUUCGGUCGAGGGUAUGUCUGUCUCAGAGUCGGCGUAAAAACAUCCCCAAGGAAACUGACCUUCGCGUCGCCUUCCGACGGGGGAGCUGGCCUUCCCGGACGCGGGGCUUGCCCUGACGCCGGGUCGGCUGAAGGAUAGAGACGGGGGACCGCACGCGCCGGGCAGCCACGAUUUUGGUGGGAGGACUUCGCGUCCGCAUCAUUGAUCGUGCUACCCAACUCAUAGUGUGUCGGUCGUUUGGACCCCGCCACUGCAGGAAAAUACUCAUCAUAGUUCCGACCUGAGAUCAGGCAAGAUCACCCGCUGAACUUAA
rnacentral:misc_RNA from 1 species